AAAAGGUGGCCUCAUAUUGGAUAUCUGGCUUGGAGCCGAGUGUGUCGGCAACAUUUGCGCCGAUGUGGGGAUGAUCCUACUUCUUUGGAGGGAGGGGGCAGCUGCAUCACCACCUCAUGCACGACACCCCGUGCUUAUGACGCGUGUGUUGUGCGCGUUUGUGAUCUGGAACACCCUGGCGAUGAUGUGCUGCUGCUGCGGCAACCUGGCCGGCCUACGGUACCCGCCUAAAUGGGUG